AACGAACGCUGGCGGCAGGCCUAGCACAUGCAAGUCGAACGCCCGUAGCAAUACGGGAGUGGCAGACGGGUGAGUAACGCGUGGGAACGUGCCCUUCGGUUCGGAAUAACUCAGGGAAACUUGAGCUAAUACCGGAUACGUCCGUAAGGAGAAAGAUUUAUCGCCGAAGGAUCGGCCCGCGUCGGAUUAGCUAGUUGGUGAGGUAAUGGCUCACCAAGGCGACGAUCCGUAGCUGGUCUGAGAGGAUGAUCAGCCACACUGGGACUGAGACACGGCCCAGACUCCUACGGGAGGCAGCAGUGGGGAAUUUUGGACAAUGGGGGCAACCCUGAUCCAGCCAUUCCGCGUGAGUGAAGAAGGCCUU
rnacentral:rRNA from 1 species